rnacentral:tRNA from 4 species
GCCGAAGUGGCGGAAUUGGUAGACGCGCUAGGUUCAGGGUCUAGUGGGCGUGCGCCUGUCCGGGUUCAAAUCCCGGCUUCGGCACCA